rnacentral:rRNA from 1 species
AUUGAACGCUGGCGGCAGGCUUAACACAUGCAAGUCGAGCGGAGAUGAGGUGCUUGCACCUUAUCUUAGCGGCGGACGGGUGAGUAAUGCUUAGGAAUCUGCCUAUUAGUGGGGGACAACAUUCCGAAAGGAAUGCUAAUACCGCAUACGUCCUACGGGAGAAAGCGGGGGAUCUUCGGACCUUGCGCCAAUAGAUGAGCCUAAGUCGGAUUAGCUAGUUGGUGGGGUAAAGGCCUACCAAGGCGACGAUCUGUAGCGGGUCUGAGAGGAUGAUCCGCCACACUGGGACUGAGACACGGCCCAGACUCCUACGGGAGGCAGCAGUGGGGAAUAUUGGACAAUGGGGGGAACCCUGAUCCAGCCAUGCCGCGUGUGUGAAGAAGGCCUUAUGGUUGUAAUGCACUUUAAGCGAGGAGGAGGCUACUGAGACUAAUACUCUUGGAUAGUGGACGUUACUCGCAGAAUAAGCACCGGCUAACUCUGUGCCAGCAGCCGCGGUAACAC